AUUACCAUGUAGUUGACUGCAACUGCAACCAGUACAACUUCCCGGGACACAACAACUGUGGUCACAUCGACACUUCCUGCAUCGCCAACAGUUACGACGCCACCUACAACGUGUACGCCUGGACAUAUGACCACAGGAUAAACUCCUGCAAGAAGGUCAGCGUCUUGAGUAGAUGUGUGGACAGCUACACACCCCAGAGAAACAUCUUCCAGAGCCAGCAAGCUUGUGUCAGAGCCUGUGAGCCCAACAGAGGA
rnacentral:sRNA from 1 species